rnacentral:rRNA from 1 species
UGAGGAAUAUUGGACAAUGGGCGCAAGCCUGAUCCAGCCAUGCCGCGUGCAGGAAGAAGGCGUUAUGCGUUGUAAACUGCUUUUUGCCAGGGGAUAAAAAGACCGUGCGCGGUUAAUUGAAGGUACCUGGUGAAUAAGCCACGGCUAACUACGUGCCAGCAGCCGCGGUAAUACGUAGGUGGCAAGCGUUGUCCGGAUUUAUUGGGUUUAAAGGGUGCGUAGGUGGCCCUGUAAGUCAGUGGUGAAAUAUCUCAGCUUAACUGAGAGGGUGCCAUUGAUACUGCAGGGCUUGAGUACAGAUGAGGUAGGCGGAAUUGACGGUGUAGCGGUGAAAUGCAUAGAUAUCGUCAAGAACACCGAUAGCGAAGGCAGCUUACCAAGCUGUAACCGACACUGAGGCACGAAAGUGUGGGGAUCAAACGGGAUUAGAUACCCCAGUAGUCCCUGAGCGGGCUGGCAAGGCGCAU